UGGAUUUGGAAAACAGAAGCAGUUGUAGUUCAAAGCCAUACAGGCAUCAAGGAAUGUUUUGUUUUGUUUCAUCGUGGACUCAAAGUCUUAUGAGAUGGCUCAUUCAAACCAAUUGCUGUCAUCCUAUUAACUCCUUGAAAAGGAGCACCUCACUGAGCCAAAAAUCAAUGGUGAUGACAUGCAUGGAAAAGAGACUCUCGGUAAAUUUGUUCCUUUCCCACAGAAGAGUCAAUACUCUGCUGAUACCAGGUGGAAAAGAGACAGUGUUACUAAAGAACCCAAAUUAAGGAGUAAUCUCAUCAAUGGAACGCCUGGUAAUUGUGUGCUAUUUGAUCUGGACAGCAGAAAACCAGCAAUCCGCAUUAGUAAUGUAACUUGGAGAAAAGACCAUAUCUUAAUGGGGAAGAUGAAAGGUGGCAAUGUAACCGCCUGUGAAAUCUACAGCAAAAGAUGUCUUAUCUUUAUCAAUGGCAGCUUGAGUUUGUGUCCCAUGUGGCUGGAAGAUUCUGGGCAGUAUUUUGUAGAAGUAUUUACGGAUGAUGGAAAACAGCUGUACAAUCAAUCAAUUCAUCUGGUUCUUACUGGUAUGUGUUGUAGGCUAUCCUCAUUAGAUAAGCACCAGAGGUCACCAGCUUUCACUCUGAUGCAUUUUGUUCAAAGAAUAUCAGAGAACAAGUAG
rnacentral:lncRNA from 1 species